rnacentral:lncRNA from 1 species
UGAGUUUUGUCUUCAUUGUUUAUCUCGACAUAGGAUAGGUUGUGUGAAAAUAUUACUGAUGUUUAACGUUAAAAAUGGACCAAAAGAUUAAUGCUAAACAACAUUUGACAUGUUUGAACGAACAUAAAUAGAUUAUUUACUAGUUUUUUUUAGCUUUUCGGCAUGAUUUUACAGUCCCCCCACCACGUUUUGUGGGAGCAUAAUGAACGCUAAGUACUUGGUGUUAUUUGGACAUAAAUUAUGAACUUUGUCAAAAGAAACCACAUUUGUUCCGGACCUGGGAUGCCUUCCGGACCUGGGAUGCCUGUCUUCUGAUGGAGAUAAUCAAAGUUUUCUUGAAAGCACCAUAAAUCCAGAGAAUGACAGAAUUAAUUGAUGGCAAAAUGUGAUGACAAACUUUGUCCACGAAGGACUGCCACGCCACCUUCCUGUUCAAGAGAGCACAGCACAACAAGCAGCAACAGGGGCCCGUCUGUGCGAGGAGAGAGGAACAUGAAUUCAAUCAAACCAACAAUGCUUUCAAAAAGCUAUCAGGCAGCUAGCGGAGAGGGCAGUCUCCUCUCCUCCUUUCCCAAUUUCUACUCACUCCACCUCUCCGUUUGGAGGCCUGUGCCUCUUCACUUCUGGAGCAUCAUGGAGGAACCUCAGGGGGAAGAGGGGGAGAGAGAGAGAGACAGAGAGAGAGAGAGAGAGAGAGAGAGAGAGCACCUGCAGAUGGAAAUGAAAACGGACCCACAACAACAACCACUUCACAAGUCAACCAGUGGAAAUGUAACCCUCUUGGCUUGGGUAGACCCAACCCACCCCUUGUCCUAUAUACACUGAGAGGUGUCUAUCGGAUUCCGCGAUCAAGAUGCGAUUACAACGACUUCCAACGACUUCCUUCUCAGUGAAUGGGGGGGAUGCAGAUGUCAGCCCGGCCCUUCAGUGAAGCAGAACAAUAGCCUCAAAGGCUCCUUCCACACAAUAGACC